rnacentral:lncRNA from 1 species
CUCUUUUCUUUUUUUUGAGACAGAGUCUCACUCUGUCACCCAGGCUGUGAGCCUAGAUUGCGCCACUGCACUCCAGUCUGGGCGACAGAGCGAGACUCCGUCUCAAAAAAAAAAAAAAAAAAAAAAAAAAAGAGAUUUGAUCUUAUGCUCUUCAAUUCAGCACCAGAAUUCAGCUUUUAUGUAUUGUUUCUCACAUCCCCAUACAAAUGAUUACUGUAGUCUUAAACAUUCCUCUGUGCAUUUGCUCUCAUUUUUCUUGCUUGAAAUACCCUAUUAUCUCUUAAAUUUUACCUAAUCUUUGACGUUAGAUGCAACCACAUUAAAACACAAGGAUACCAUGGAUUUGAAAAGAUGCAGUUAGCAAUUGACUCCUCUCCUCAAUCAAGCCACCAUACUAAUUUCAUUAAUUUUAAAACAAUCCCUUAUUUUAUGUAAACAAAUUGUUGGACACCAUUUAUUAGCAUUGCAGCAGGAUUUUAUGUUAUUAUCUUUUGAAAAACCUUUCUACCACUUUUACCAGUUGCUUUGUGCUAAUUUAUAAGCUUGUCUGAGUUUAAAGGAGCUGUAAGCCUAGGCAUGGUGUCUCAUGCUUGUAAUCCCAGCACUUUAGGAGACCACGGCAGGAGGAUUGCUUGAGGCCACGAGUUCAAGACCAGCCUGGCAUCAUAGUGAGACCCUGUCUCUGUG